rnacentral:rRNA from 1 species
GGCUCAGGAUGAACGCUGGCGGCGUGCUUAACACAUGCAAGUCGAACGAAGCGUCCCGCCCGAAGAAGAGGAGAGCUUGCUCAAAUCGGACUCAAUUGGGACGACUUAGUGGCGGACGGGUGAGUAACGCGUGGGUAACCUGCCUUACACAGGGGGACAACAGUUGGAAACGACUGCUAAUACCGCAUAAGCGCACGAAAUCGCAUGAUAAAGUGUGAAAAGAUUUAUCGGUGUAAGAUGGACCCGCGUCUGAUUAGCUGGUUGGUGAGGUAACGGCUCACCAAGGCGACGAUCAGUAGCCGGCCUGAGAGGGUGAACGGCCACAUUGGGACUGAGACACGGCCCAAACUCCUACGGGAGGCAGCAGUGGGGAAUAUUGGACAAUGGGGGAAACCCUGAUCCAGCGACGCCGCGUGAGUGAAGAAGUAUUUCGGUAUGUAAAGCUCUAUCAGCAGGGAAGAAGAUGACGGUACCUGACUAAGAAGCCCCGGCUAACUACGUGCC